AAACAGCAGGGCUUCCCAACCUACGAGGGGAGGGCUGUUUCUCCACAGUGGUGACUUGCAAGGACAAAACCUGUGUGUGUGAGAGAGACAUUGCUCUCCCAGAGGCUGCAACAACAGGCCCCAGUUCAAGACAUCUCAGUCCUGUGCUUGCCUCAGGCAUGGUUCAGAGUCUCCACUUCUUCACCUAUAAAUGGGAAAUCACCUGAUUUCCAGAUAUUCAUUCAGCAAGAAGACCCAUGGGAGGACAUGACGUGUGCGCCUGCUCUUUCUCAGUCCCACAGAAGAGGAGGAUGGUGUCACCACCCAGGCAGACGUCCCUCUGUCCAGGCAUGUCCAGCAACAGCACAUUGCACGUUGCUGAUUCAAAAUGAAUAUUAAACACAGAACCUCGCAGAGGCCAGCCCUGCAGGGCAGGCAAUGAA
rnacentral:lncRNA from 1 species